CUAACAAGGAUUCCCCUAGUAACUGCGAGUGAAGCGGGAAAAGCUCAAAUUUAAAAUCUGGUGGUCUUUGGCCAUCCGAGUUGUAAUUUAGAGAAGCGUCUUCCGCGCUGGACCGUGCACAAGUCUCCUGGAAUGGAGCGUCAUAGAGGGUGAGAAUCCCGUCUUUGGCAUGGAAUCCCAGGGCUUCUGUGAUGCGCUCUCGACGAGUCGAGUUGUUUGGGAAUGCAGCUCAAAAUGGGUGGUGAACUCCAUCUAAAGCUAAAUAUUGGCGAGAGACCGAUAGCGAACAAGUACCGUGAGGGAAAGAUGAAAAGCACUUUGGAAAGAGAGUGAAACAGUACGUGAAAUUGUUGAAAGGGAAACGCUUGAAGUCAGUCGCGUCGACCGAGACUCAGCCUUGCCUCGGCUUGGUGUACUUCUCGGCUUGACGGGUCAGCAUCGAUUUCGAUCCUCGGAUAAUGGCAAGGGAAAGGUAGCACCUUUUUAGGUGUGUUAUAGUCCUCUGUCGCAUGCGAGGGUCGGGAUCGAGGAACUCAGCACGCACCUCAGGGUGUCGGGGCCUUGGCCCACGUUUACGUGCUUAGGAUGCUGGCGUAAUGGCUUUAAACGACCCGUCUUGAAACACGGACCAAGGAGUCUAACAUACCCGCGAGUGUUCGGGUGGAAAACCCGUGCGCGUAAUGAAAGUAAAAGUUGGGACCUCUGUCGCGGAGGGCACCGACGCCCGGACCAGACCUUCUGUGACGGCUCUGCGGUAGAGCGUGUAUGUUGGGACCCGAAAGAUGGUGAACUAUGCCUGAAUAGGGUGAAGCCAGAGGAAACUCUGGUGGAGGCUCGUAGCGAUUCUGACGUGCAAAUCGAUCGUCAAAUUUGGGUAUAGGGGCGAAAGACUAAUCGAACCAUCUAGUAGCUGGU
rnacentral:rRNA from 2 species